rnacentral:rRNA from 1 species
GACGAACGCUGGCGGCGUGCUUAACACAUGCAAGUCGAACGGAAAGGCCCUGCUUGCAGGGUACUCGAGUGGCGAACGGGCGAGUAACACGUGGGUGAUCUGCCCUGCACUUCGGGAUAAGCCUGGGACACUGGGUCUACUACCGGCUAGGAGCCAUUUUUAGUGUGAUGGUUGGAAAGUUUUUUCGGUGUGGGAUGAGCGCGCGGCCUAUCAGCUUGUUGGUGGGGUAAUGGCCUACCGAGGCGGCGACGGGUAGCCGGCCUGAGAGGGUGGACGGCCACAUUGGGACUGAGAUACGGCCCAGACUCCUACGGGAGGCAGCGGUGGAGAAUGGUGCACAAUGGGCUCAAGCCUGAUGCAGCGACGCCGCGUGGGGGAUAACGGCCUUCGGUUUGUAUUCUACUUUCGCUAGGGACGAAGCUUUUGUGACGGUACCUAGUUAAGAAGCACCGGCUAACUACGUG